GUUGUCCAUGGAUAUACCGUAUUGUAUAAUGUUCCGGAAAAGUUUCCGUCUUUCUUCAGUUACAUUCAGCAGAAAAAACACACAUCUGUAAUUGCCGUAUCAGGCCUGCAUAGUUAGUUACCUCUUCCCCUUGACUUAACAAAAUGACAUCAUUUUGGAAUCUAUGAGAAUAUCUGGCAGACUGUCCCAUUUAUUUUCCUUUGGUGGGGUGGGAUGGGGGGUGGACCCCCAACUCUCUCUCAAUUUCCUUCUCUCUCCAUCUCUCUCUCUUUACAUCCUCCACCACUCUGUCUUUUUUGGGAGGGGUGGGAUAGGGGGUGGACUCACCCGACUCUCUCUCCCUCUUCAUCUCUCUCUCUCUCCUCUUCAUCUCUUUCUUUUUCUCCACCUCUUUCUCAAUUAACCCCCCCCUCUCUCUCUUUUAGGCAACCAUGUUUUUAUGGCAGGAGUCAACCAAAUAAAAGCAGCCCCACCAGUCUGUGGGGGAGAAAAGCCGCUGGUUCAAUGAAGUGAUCUAUUCAACUCAGUGUUUCUCUCUCUUGCUCUCUUCAUUAAUUACAUACUGUUGUGCCUUUUCAUCCUUUCCGUCUUUUGUUUUCUGUCUCUCUUACUUUUUAUUCCCCUCCUUCUUUCUCUGGCUGGCUGAGCUCUGACAAGGGGAUAGAAUCAAGAGUUUGGGAGAGGAGAGGGACAUUUGGGAGCGAGAUGGCGAGUGGGACGGUGGGGUUGUUCCUGUAUGGAUUCCUGCUCCUGUCUCUGUGGAAACCUUCACUGCAAGGAGGUGUGUACAUACCUGCUGGUGUAGGUGAAGGAGCUGGGACUGGAUUAGGAGCUGGAGCAGGAGUCAGAGCUGGAUUUGGUCCAGGUGGAGCUGGCACCGGUUUUGGGCCUGGUGGUGUAGGCACUGGAUAUGGGCCAGGUGGCGGAGCCGGAGUUGGACCAGGAGUUGGACCAGGAGGUGUAGGUGGAGCUGGCGCUGGUCCAGGUGGUGCAGGCUUUGGCCCUGGAGCCGGUGGAGGUUACACCAAGCCAGGGAAGACGGGAGCUGGCUAUGGUGGUCAGGUUGUAGGCCAAGGCCAAGGAGGACUGGGGACUGGAGGUCUGGGGGAAGGAAGAGUUAGACCAGAAGGAGCUGGGGCCGGACCAGGAGGUUAUGGACAUGGCGGUGGUUUAGGAGCUGGAGGCCUUGGAGCAGGAGCUGGCAAUGGAGGUUGGGGUCCUGGAGGACAGGGGGCUGGACUAGGAGCUGGAGGUCUGGGAGGAGGAGGUCUUAGACCAGGAGCCAGACCAGGAGGUUAUGGACCAGGUGGUUAUGGGCCUGGAGCUGGUCUUAGUCUGGGCGGAGCUGUAGCUGGAGGUCUUGGUGGUGGUUACGGACUUGGCGGGGGUCUAGGUGCCGGAGGCCUUGGAGCAGGAGCUGGAGGAAAGCCAGAGAAGGCAGGAGCUGGCUACGGUGGUAGAGAUCCAGGAGGACAGGGGGCUGGACUGGGUGUUGGAGGUUUUGGACCAGGUGGCUAUGGACCAGGUGGAGCUGGUGCCGGACCAGGUGGCUAUGGGCUUGGUGUUGGUCUUGGUCCUGGGGGAGCUGGUCCUGGAGUUUUUGGUGGUGGUUAUGGACCCGAUGGAACAGGAGCUGGCUAUGUAGGUCGCAGUCCUGGGGGACAGGGGGCUGGAUUAGGAGCUGGAGGCUAUGGACCAGGUGGAGCUGGACCAGGAGGAUAUGGGCCUGGUUCUGGUGUUGGCCAGGGUGGAGCUGGUCCAGGUGGUUUUGGUGGUGGUCUUGGAGCUGGCGGACAAGGAGACACCCUUGGAGCUGGGUAUGGAGGCCUCGGAGCUGGGGGACUGGGAUCCAGAGGUACAGGUCAGGGGGCUGGAGGACUUGGAGCAGGCCAAGGUCUUGGAGCCGGCCAAGGAGAUGGAUACAGACCUGGAGGAGGCUACGGUGGUGCUGCUGGUGGUCUGUACCCUGGAGCUGGAGGGGCGGGGGCAGGCCAGAAACCUCCCAAAACAGGAGCAGGAAGCACACUAGGAGGAGAUGGAUAUGGGCCUGGUGGUGCUGGUGGAUAUGGGCCUGGUGGUGCUGGUGGAUAUGGGCCUGGUGGCGCAGGUGGACAUGGGCCUGGUGGCACAGGUGGACAUGGGCCUGGUGGCGUAGGUGGACAUGGGCCUGGUGGCGUAGGUGGACAUGGGCCUGGUGGCGCAGGAACUGGGCCUGGUGGCGCAGCAGUACCAGCUGGAGCACCAGUACUUCCACAGACUGGAGUCCCUGGGGGUGGAGCUAGAGAGAAGAGCGGUUGGAAGGCCAACAAACAAGUGCCAGGUGUUGGAGUACCUGGACUUUAUCAAGGUGGAAUAGUGCCUAGUCAAGGUUUCGGAGGGCGUGGGGUUCUACCAGGUGUUGCCACUGGAUCCGGACUUGCUCCCCAGACAGGGGCAGGUGUGCUGGGCCAGGGUGGAGUUGGAGCUGGCACUGGAGCUGGAGGUGGCCGAGGCAGUUUAAAUGGAGUGUUCCGUGGAUAUCCCCUCAUAUCACCUAAAUCUGGAGGGGCUGGAGGCAAAUCGGCUAAUUCCCAGGCCAAGCUUGCUGCUAAAUAUGCUGGAGGUGUACUUCAUCAAGGGGGCAUGGCCGGAGCAGGAGGCGUACCUAGCGGCGUACCUGGAGCAGAUGGGGUCCCUGGUUAUGGAGUUGGAGCUGGUGGUGUACCUGGUUACGGAGGUGGAGCAGGAGGCAUACCUGGAUUCGGAGGCGUAGCCAGAGCAGGAGGCGUACCUGGUUACGGGGGCGGAGCCGGACCAGGAGGCGUACCUGGGGCAGGGGGCGUCCCUGGCUCAGGUGGGUAUGGAUACCCAGGGGGUUACCCAGGUGGAGGGCGGUACCCUGGGGCUGGCCUAGGUGUAGGAGGUGCCUACCCCGGAGAAGCUGGAUCUAAGGCAGCCAAAUAUGGUCAGGGUGGAGCAGGCACUGGAGCUGGUGGUGGGCUCAGCCAGGGAGUGCCUGCAUCUGGGAUUGGAACCGGAAGACUGCCUGGUGGGGCUGGAGGGGAACCAGGAGGCGGUUACAGGCCUGGCGGUAGCUUCGGUCCUGGAGGUGGAGUUGGACCAGGUGGUGCCGGGGAAGGACAUGGUGGAGCUGGCUAUGGACCAGGUGGAGGAGUUGGUGGAGUGCCUGGUGGUGGACACAGACCUGGAGGUGGUUUACCUGGUAGUGGUGCUGGUUACGGACCUGGUGCUGGUGUUGGAGGAUAUGAUGCAAAUGCCAAAGCUCGUAAAUAUGGUAUGCUAAGUGGUGUCCUUGGGACCCCAGGAGGAGGACAGGCAGCCAGCCUGGGAGGAGUACCAGGAGGGGGAGCAGGGACUGGAGUAGGCCAGGGUGGAGUGCCUGGAUCUGGGCUUGGUGGUGGUGGAGGUGUCCCCGGUGGUUAUGGUCCUGGAGCUGGAUUUGGACCUGGUGGUGGAACUGUUGGUGGUUAUGGACCAGGAGGGGGUGCUGGGACUGGACUUGGCCAGGGAGGAGUUGGGUCCGUACCAGAUGGCUAUGGGACUGGGCCUGGUGGUUAUGGACCAGGUGGAGCCGGACAGGGUGCAGUGAAGCCAAACAAAUCAGGUUAUGGCUCCUCCUCCUCGGGUGGAGCUCUCUUUGGACCAGGUGCUGGAGCAGGUGGGGUAUCUGGUGCUGGAGCUACCGGGCGAAGAGGAGGAGUACCAGGAGGCUACGGAGUAGGAGAAGCGGGACAGUCAGGGCAGAAAUCAAAGGCACAGAAGGCAGCCAAAUACACAGCCAUGCAAGGCUUCCUGGGAGCACGCAGCUACAGAGGGGUCGCCGACUGCCAGGGUAUAUACUGCGGACGGAGGAGGAAGUGAGAGAGCAGCAAAAAGAAGUGACCUCAUCAACAACAUUGUGGUGCUACUGCAUGAUUCAAGAAU
rnacentral:lncRNA from 13 species